rnacentral:rRNA from 1 species
GACAUUUGGUAGAGACUGUUGAAGCCACCUGGUCCCAGCAGACCCUUGAAGGCAGCCACAUUCGCUGGUGCUGGGGCAAGGUGGUUGAGGGUGAAGCCUGGUGCCAGAUGUGU